rnacentral:rRNA from 1 species
UACGGAGGGGGCUAGCGUUGUUCGGAAUUACUGGGCGUAAAGCGCACGUAGGCGGCUUUGUAAGUUAGAGGUGAAAGCCCGGGGCUCAACUCCGGAAUUGCCUUUAAGACUGCAUCGCUCGAAUUGUGGAGAGGUAAGUGGAAUUCCGAGUGUAGAGGUGAAAUUCGUAGAUAUUGGGAAGAACACCGGUGGCCGAAGGCGGCGACCUGGUCCGAUAC